AGUCGAACGGUAACAGGUCUUCGGAUGCUGACGAGUGGCGGACGGGUGAGUAAUGCGUAGGAAUCUGUCUUUUAGUGGGGGACAACCCAGGGAAACUUGGGCUAAUACCGCAUGAGCCCUGAGGGGGAAAGCGGGGGAUCUUCGGACCUCGCGCUAAGGGAAGAGCCUACGUCUGAUUAGCUAGUUGGUAGGGUAAAGGCCUACCAAGGCGACGAUCAGUAGCUGGUCUGAGAGGACGACCAGCCACACUGGGACUGAGACACGGCCCAGACUCCUACGGGAGGCAGCAGUGGGGAAUUUUUCGCAAUGGGGGCAACCCUGACGAAGCAAUGCCGCGUGGAUGAAGAAGGCCUUCGGGUUGUAAAGUCCUUUCGUGGGGGACGAAAAGGCGGGUCCUAAUACGAUCUGCUGUUGACGUGAACCCAAGAAGAAGCACCGGCUAACUCCGUGCCAGCAGCCGCGGUAAUACGGGGGGUGCAAGCGUUAAUCGGAAUCACUGGGCGUAAAGGGCGCGUAGGCGGUACGUUAGGUCUGUCGUGAAAUCCCCGGGCUCAACCUGGGAAUGGCGGUAGAAACCGGCGCACUAGAGUAUGGGAGAGGGUGGUGGAAUUCCAGGUGUAGCGGUGAAAUGCGUAGAGAUCUGGAGGAACAUCAGUGGCGAAGGCGGCCACCUGG
rnacentral:rRNA from 1 species